AAUCGAAGCAGUGAACUUAAGCCCCAGUAAACGGCGGCCGUAACUAUAACGGUCCUAAGGUAGCGAAAUUCCUUGUCGGGUAAGUUCCGACCCGCACGAAAGGCGUAACGAUUUGGGCACUGUCUCAACAACAGACUCGGUGAAAUUGUAAUUCCGGUGAAGAUGCCGGAUACCUGCGACAGGACGGAAAGACCCCAUGGAGCUUUACUGUAGCUUGACAUUGGGUCUUGGUACUACAUGUACAGGAUAGGUGGGAGGCUUUGAAACCAGGACGCCAGUUUUGGCGGAGCCAUCCUUGGGAUACCACCCUUGUAGUACUGGGACUCUAACCAUAGGCCAUGAAUCUGGUCUUGGGACACUGUCAGGUGGGCAGUUUGACUGGGGCGGUCGCCUCCCCAAAGGUAACGGAGGCGCUCAAAGGUUCUCUCAGUACGGUCGGAAAUCGUACGUAGCGUGUAAAGGCAAAAGAGAGCUUGAUUGCAAGACAUAACGGUCGAGCAAGGAUGAAACUCGGACUUAGUGAGCCGGUGGUUCUGCGUGGAAGGGCCAUCGCUCAACGGAUAAAAGCUACCCUGGGGAUAACAGGCUUAUCUCCCCCAAGAGUCCACAUCGACGGGGAGGUUUGGCACCUCGAUGUCGGCUCAUCACAUCCUGGGGCUGUAGUAGGUCCCAAGGGUUGGGC
rnacentral:rRNA from 1 species